rnacentral:lncRNA from 1 species
GAGAAAGAACAGAGAGAAGAAGGGCUGCAGCGGUCGCAGGGAGAAAGGAGAGGUGGGAGAGAGAGGGUGAGGAAUGAGAUUAUUUAUGGAAGGGGGUUAGGGUUAGGGUUAGGUUAGUAGGCUUUUAGAUGAGCUUUUGGGUUUGGGACAAAACAAUUUAAGCCCGCGAAAUAAAUCGAUCGCAAUUUAUUCCGUAGACUUGGAACAGAUGAUUUAGACUAAUUUUCCGGGAACGAAUUAAGUAGCAAAUACUUAAUUCGAGAAGCCGAAAAAUAUCACCGUAAUUCAAUUGAGCUCUCGGGAAUUUAGUACAAAUGAAUUAGCCUAUUUUCCAAAAUCAAAUCAAUUAGCAAGGAGUUAAUUUGAAAAGUUGGAAAAUAAUUUCAUAAUCCAUUUAAGAAAUUCUAGAGCAAUUUAAAAAGAUCAGGUCAGGAAAAGUUAGCGGCCUGACUUGUUAGCAAGUUAAAGAGUCGUCAGGUGGUUUAGGUGGGUCUGAGACAAACGAUAGCCAAGCUAGCUUUAAGGUCCAGGUGAUGUUAGCUGGUUUAGCGAGUUAGUCUCGUUAGCGGGUGAGGGUCCAAGUUAGAGAGGGUAGUUAAUUUAGGUAGCUUUAGAUUUAUAUUUGAAUUUAGAAUUAAGAAGCAAAUCAUACUAAUUUGGAGAUUGUCCUUAUCAUGGAAAGCAAUUUAAUUAAUUUAAUUACUAGGAAUGGCAAGAGAACACAAGAAGACAGCCUUAAGAUUUUGAACAAACACAUCAAGCACAAAAUUUUUUGAAAACCCACAUUUUUGCAAACAAUAACAUUUCGAAAAAUCUGGGAUGUUACAUACUCCCCC